ACUGAGACACGGCCCAGACUCCUACGGGAGGCAGCAGUGGGGAAUAUUGCGCAAUGGGCGGAAGCCUGACGCAGCGACGCCGCGUGAGGGAUGACGGCCUUCGGGUUGUAAACCUCUUUCAGCAGGGACGAAGCUAACGUGACGGUACCUGCAGAAGAAGCGCCGGCUAACUACGUGCCAGCAGCCGCGGUAAUACGUAGGGCGCAAGCGUUGUCCGGAAUUAUUGGGCGUAAAGAGCUCGUAGGCGGUUUGUCGCGUCUGUCGUGAAAGCCCACGGCUUAACCGUGGGUCUGCGGUGGAUACGGGCAGACUAGAGGCAGGUAGGGGAGAAUGGAAUUCCCGGUGUAGCGGUGAAAUGCGCAGAUAUCGGGAGGAACACCGGUGGCGAAGGCGGUUCUCUGGGCCUGUACUGACGCUGAGGAGCGAAAGCGUGGGGAGCGAACAGGAUUAGAUACCCUGGUAGUCCACGCCGUAAACGUUGGGCGCUAGGUGUGGGGUCCUUCCACGGAUUCCGCGCCGCAGCUAACGCAUUAAGCGCCCCGCCUGGGGAGUACGGCCGCAAGGCUAAAACUCAAAGGAAUUGACGGGGGCCCGCACAAGCGGCGGAGCAUGUUGCUUAAUUCGACGCAACGCGAAGAACCUUACCAAGGCUUGACAUCGCCGGAAAACCAUCAGAGAUGGUGGGUCCUUUUUGGGCCGGUGACAGGUGGUGCAUGGCUGUCGUCAGCUCGUGUCGUGAGAUGUUGGGUUAAGUCCCGCAACGAGCGCAACCCUCGUUCCAUGUUGCCAGCACUUCGGGUGGGGACUCAUGGGAGACCGCCGGGGUCAACUCGGAGGAAGGUGGGGAUGACGUCAAGUCAUCAUGCCCCUUAUGUCUUGGGCUGCAAACAUGCUACAAUGGCCGGUACAGAGGGCUGCGAUACCGUGAGGUGGAGCGAAUCCCUUAAAGCCGGUCUCAGUUCGGAUCGAAGUCUGCAACUCGACUUCGUGAAGUCGGAGUCGCUAGUAAUCGCAGAUCAGCAACGCUGCGGUGAAUACGUUCCCGGGCCUUGUACACACCGCCCGUCACGUCACGAAAGUCGGCAACACCCG
rnacentral:rRNA from 1 species